rnacentral:lncRNA from 1 species
GAUUGGAGGGGCUGAAACCACCUGUGCUGCCCCUGUGUGCCUGCUGCUGGGUUGCCCCGACUCGAAGUCAGGCCUGUCUGCUUUUGGUUCCCGCUGUGCAGGGAAGCCUGGAUGUGAUUCAUCAAGGGAUGUCUGAUUUGCUUAGCGGGGAGCCCUCCGGCUGCCAGGUGGAAGCACAAAGUGGUUCGUCAGCAGCUGCAAAGGAGUUGACAGGUGUCUGCAUCGGGCUUCCUGCUAAUUAAGCGCUGUUGUGAGUCGCAGGCAAAGGGAUGGAGGAGCCAGGAAGAAGCUCACCCAUGAAGUCUGGAUCCCCAGAGCGCUGCAGACACAUUUUGUUAUCCUGGCUGUCAAGAAGCUUAAAGAGCUGCUGAUGCCUUCUGGAAAACUUUGACAAACCCUCUGUUUGGGCACCGUGCUGCCUCCCCAGCCUGUCUGCCCGGGCUUUCUGCUCCCCGCUUCUUUAUUAGCAGUGAUGUCUGUGAGGAUAGGAGGAG